rfam:Prevotella sp. CAG:924 genomic scaffold, scf196
GGGGUUGACUGGAUUUGACGGCAAGCCGAGAUGGUACGUAAGCAUGCGGAGCCUCGAUGGCUAGCUCCAUAAUCUGAGUGAUCAACAAUUUAAUUGGCGAAAAGAAUUACGCUCUCGCUGCCUAACUGAAGUAUAGUAGGUUACCGGCUUAAUCGCGUCACAAGGUGAUGCGACGGGACAUCGCUCCAAUGAUCUUUUUCCGAAUCAAGUGGGUUUAGCGGUGCAGUUUCUUCGGAGAUAGUGGACGUCCGCCUCGUGGCGUUCAUGAAAUUUUAGAGGAUAAGGCAUCGGUUGGUGGUUCAGGUCUUGCCGGUGCACGAAAACCAAAGGCUGAAAUAAGCAUGUAGAAAGCGUAUGGUUUCCUUGUUCGGACGAGGGUUCGAAUCCCUCCAGCUCCACAA